AGAGUUUGAUCAUGGCUCAGGACGAACGCUGGCGGCGUGCUUAACACAUGCAAGUCAAGGAGAAAGUUUCCUUCGGGAAAUUAGUAAACUGGCGCACGGGUGAGUAAUAUAUAAGCAAUCUACCCACGGGUUCGGAAUAACGUCGAGAAAUCGGCGCUAAUACCGUAUAAUGCAGCGGCAUCGCAUGAUGAUGUUGUUAAAGUUCAUGAAACGCCUGUGGAUGAGCUUGUAUCUGAUUAGCUUGUUGGUGAGGUAAUGGCUCACCAAGGCUACGAUCAGUAGCUGGUCUGAGAGGAUGAUCAGCCACAUUGGAACUGAGACACGGUCCAGACUCCUACGGGAGGCAGCAGUGAGGAAUAUUGGGCAAUGGGCGAAAGCCUGACCCAGCAACGCCGCGUGAAGGAUGAAUGUCGUAAGAUUGUAAACUUCUUUUUGAGGGGACGAAAAAACGGGUUAGAAGCUCGAAUUGACUGUACCCUUAGAAUAAGCCCCGGCUAACUACGUGCCAGCAGCCGCGGUAAUACGUAGGGGGCAAGCGUUGUCCGGAUUUACUGGGUGUAAAGGGCGCGUAGGCGGGUUUGUUAGUCAGAGGUGAAAUCCUGCAGCUCAACUGUAGAAUUGCCUUUGAUACUGCAAGCCUUGAGUUCGGAAGAGAGAGACGGAAUUCCAGGUGUAGUGGUGAAAUACGUAGAUAUCUGGAAGAACACCAGAGGCGAAGGCGGUCUCUUGGUCCGUAACUGACGCUGAGGCGCGAAAGCGUGGGGAGCAAACAGGAUUAGAUACCCUAGUAGUCC
rnacentral:rRNA from 1 species